rnacentral:rRNA from 1 species
GACGAACGCUGGCGGCGUGCCUAAUACAUGCAAGUCGAGCGAAGUUUUUCUGGUGCUUGCACUAGAAAAACUUAGCGGCGAACGGGUGAGUCACACGUAAAGAACCUGCCUCAUAGACUGGGACCACUAUUGGAAACGAUAGCUAAUCCCGGAUAACAUUAUUUCUCGCAUGAGAGAUAUUUAAAAGUUGGUUAUGCUAACACUAUGAGAUGGCUUUGCGGUGCAUUAGCUAGUUGGUGGGGUAAAGGCCCACCAAGGCGACGAUGCAUAGCCGACCUGAGAGGGUGAUCGGCCACACUGGGACUGAGACACGGUCCAGACUCCUACGGGAGGCAGCAGGAGGGAAUCUUCCGCAAUGGGCGAAAGCCUGACGGAGCAACGCCGCGUGAGUGAAGAAGGGUUUCGGAUCGUAAAACUCUGUUGUUAGGGAAGAAAAGAUGUGUAAGUACCUGUGCAGUUAGUGACGGUACCUAACCAGAAAGCCAAGGCUAACUACGUG